GAUGAACGCUGGCGGCGUGCCUAAUACAUGCCAGUCGAGCGAACGGACGAGAAGCUUGCUUCUCUGAUGUUAGCGGCGGACGGGUGAGUAACACAUGGAUAACCUACCUAUAAGACUGGGAUAACUUCGGGAAACCGGAGCUAAUACCGGAUAAUAUUUUGAACCGCAUGGUUCAAAAGUGAAAGACGGUCUUGCUGUCACUUAUAGAUGGAUCCGCGCUGCAUUAGCUAGUUGGUAAGGUAACGGCUUACCAAGGCAACGAUGCAUAGCCGACCUGAGAGGGUGAUCGGCCACACUGGAACUGAGACACGGUCCAGACUCCUACGGGAGGCAGCAGUAGGGAAUCUUCCGCAAUGGGCGAAAGCCUGACGGAGCAACGCCGCGUGAGUGAUGAAGGUCUUCGGAUCGUAAAACUCUGUUAUUAGGGAAGAACAUAUGUGUAAGUAACUGUGCACAUCUUGACGGUACCUAAUCAGAAAGCCACGGCUAACUACGUG
rnacentral:rRNA from 1 species